CAACGGUAUACGUGGCUUUACGCGGUGUUUGCAGUAAACGCCUUCAAACUUGUACACACGUUUCCACGUGGGUUUUAAAUUUUGGGUGCCUCAUUACAGCGCUAAUGGAGUUUCUAAAAGUUUACAUCAAAUCUCUGAAGAGCCGUUCACCGGGCAACCUAAUUCGAUGCCGCGCUACAGAAAGGAUAGUUGCUAGCCGAGCAACGAUCGCAACUAUUCGAAUACUUGGCGUGCUGAUGGUAACGUGCAUCGUAAGCCCACGAACGACCUUUCAAUAAAUCGGAUUCCCAUCUCUGCCGGUAUCAAAUCACAUUUCCGGCACAGCUUCGCACAUCCGUAGCUCGAGGAUCUCGAAGACAUGGAAUGCAAAUUGCUCG
rnacentral:misc_RNA from 1 species